rnacentral:misc_RNA from 1 species
CAACCCUCAAGCCCUGCUUGGUGUUGGGGCCCUACGGCUGCCGUAGGCCCUGAAAGGAAGUGGCGGGGCUCGCUGCAACUCCGAGCGUAGUAGAAUCCUAUCUCGCUAGGGAGGCGCGGCGCGCUCCAGCCGUUAAAGACCCCAUCUUUAACCAA